UCCAAACCGUAUUCUCUGUUGCAGAAGAGCAGAAGAUUUGUUACUUGAUUGCUAAUGGUGGCUGGAAACAUAGAAUUAGAUUCAGAAUCUUUUAUUAGUCAUAAUUAGUCAGAUCACUUUCCAUAUGUUCACAGAGUUUAGAUGUUGUUUGUUUAUAUACAUCACACAAUUGUUAUAUUCUUUUCUCAGGUAGACUGCAGUGGAAGCUGUGUGCACACUUCUGGCUAUAGUUUGGCCUAUUUUGUAAGUUGGAUCGCAGCAAUACAAACAUUUAAAGCAUGCUGUGUUAAGGUAGGACAGCAAUUGGAGUCCAAGCCAAUCAACAAUGGAAGGUUAGGCUAAAAAGUGUACUUUCAGGAGAGAUUUGAAGAACAUAUAAGCUUCAACCUGAUAAUUCCAAGCUGAAUUCAGAAUCUACACCAAAGGGAAAUCAGGUCUGGGUGUAACACAUUUCCCCGUCUGAAAGAGAAGGUCAAGCAUGAUUGUCAAAAGAAAGAGGCCUCCAUCAAGACAAAUCCAGAGGCUGGAAUCCCAGAAAACUGGUGAGGCCACAGAAGCAUUACUGUAUGAAAAUCUCCAGACAAGGCUUGUAAGGCACCUAUGGCAGCACAGGAAAGGAAGAAUGUUUUUUCCCAAUGACAUUGAAAGAUGUCUGAAAGAGGCCGCAGACCUAUGCCAUUCUUGGCACAGAAGCGCGGACACUUGACACUGACCUGGGAAAAGAAGUUAUUCUCUGGAUAACUCUGCUUGCUGAACAGGCAGCAGAGAUGUGUGCUUAUCAGUAUUUAUCAAAGGCUAUAUAGUGUAUUAAGGGUCAUGUGGCUAAAUCCAUGCACAAAAUUAAUCUAUGUUAACUUUGAACAGAAACCUAAUCUAAUUAUAAUUUGCAAAAAUUGCUAAGGAAAAUGUACCUCUAACUUACAAAACAUUGCUAAGCUAUGAAAACUAAAAAUGAAGUUAUACAACACUAAAGUAAUGUUUCCUAAUGCAUGCCCUGACACACCAGAAUCACAGAUAGCAUGAUAGAUAGGUGUGUGAAGGGGGGGAGGGGAUCUGCACAAAACAAGGAGUCUAUGUGAUCUUUACCCCCUUUUUUCUCACUUUAAAAGAAUUCCGCAUUAGUCAACCACAUCACUGUAUUGUUUUUCAUUAUAUAAACAUGCCUAAUCGGUUAUGACUGGCUGCUGCCACUGAUCAUCAGACAAGCAUUUCCAAAAUAAUGUUACUGUCAUGAAAAAGGAAACUAAUUUUUAAAACAAGACUCAUACAUUUGCUUACAUAAAUAAGGCAUGUUGCUUUCUAAAAUUAUGAAGUGUAUAAACACUGCACUCUGUUAUUCACAUGAAAAUGUUACGUAAGAGAACUGCCUCUGUCUAACUGUGCAACACUGUCACUCACGAUGAGUGCCAAAAGAAAAUCCAAGAAAGAAAUCCUGCACUGUGGUCUGUGAACUUUUACAUCUUGACAGACGCCAGCCCACAUGCCCAUAAACCAGAGUAAAAGGGUCAAAGCAAGACGUAUCUUGACCUGAACUUUAACUACCAGAGGUGACACUUAUGCAACAGCUAAAACUAAACAGAACAAAUAGGGAAGGAGGGAAUGCAGGAGCCACCUAGUCCAUAUUGAACUAAAAUACAAGACAAUUUAGUAUCUCUCUCAAAAGAUACUCCAGAGACAUUUCCUGCUCUGCAGUCUUGGGUAUGGAAUAGGGAAGAGAGUAUAUACGAAGAUGUCUACAGGACAAUAUUUGAGUAAAUCCAAAUAAGAGUAGUUUAUUUGAUCAUUUGUAAUAGAUUAGGAAAUGGAUAGUAGUAUUUUAAAUGGUACUAAAAAACAACAGCAACACUAUGUAGUAUAUACAGAACACCAUAUGCUAUAUUAAAGUGUGGGAUAAUUGUUAAUUUAUUGCAUUUUUAGAACAGUUUUUAAGUAAAGGUAGUAAAAUAUCAGAGCUGUACCAUCAAGUUUCAGAGAUCAGCUGAGGUACUAGUCUGCCAGCUUAUGCUCAUAGGUCUGAAUAAGUUUAUAGUCCAUAUCAGAAAGGCCAAAUUUGAUCUCAGCCUUUUUUUGAAAUAAAGAAGCACCUCAUCAAAUGUAUAUUUGCAUACGGAUCCAAAACUGGCCCUUAAUUAUGAGGGACAGAAGCCAUCUUGGCCAACAAGAGGUGGUAGAAUCUCCUUCCUUAGAGGUUUUUAAGGUCAGGCUUGACAAAGCCCUGGCUGGGAUGAUUUAACUGGGAAUUGGUCCUGCUUCGAGCAGGGGGUUGGACUAGAUGACCUUCAGGGGUCCAUUCCAACCCUGAUAUUCUAUGAUUCUAUGAACACUGGGAACUAAACUGGAGUCCUCCAGAGCUAAAAGUAUGAGUGGCUACACCCUGACCUAAAGAGCCAGGGGCUUUGUCAUAAGGGUCUAUAGCAGACUCAGACCCUCUAUGGAUAGAGCACAGAGGGGAACACAUAACACUCACUGCAUCUGCAAAACUACACUUAUUUAAGUCCUAAAUUAUUAAUAAAAAUAAAAACAUAUGACAUUAUUGAUAGUCAAAAUAUAUACCAGCUUUAAGAAAGGUUCUUGUGUGUCAUUUUCAGGUUCUAAAAUUUUAACUCCACACAUACUAUUAGACUCUAAAGGCACAAAUGGGCUUAUGCAAUAAAAAUGAUUAUGAUCAAUAAUUCAGGACAUUUAUUUGGCUUUGCACAUAACCCUGUGAUUAUGGACCCUUGUGAUUCUUUUUUACAUCUGUGCCCAGCUGUACAUUGAAAUAUUGUAUUUCAAUAUACUGUAUCCAUAGUAAAAUCUGUACAGACUGCUACCUUGCUGUAACUGCCAUAAAUUCAAAAAUUGCCCUAAAUUCAAAGGCUCAAAUUAAUCUCUGGUUUAACUCCACUGAAGGCACUGGAAUAAUACUAGAGUAAAUUUGACCCAGUAAUUAUAAAUGUCCAGUUCUGUCCAGUAAUUAUUCCUGUUUGCCUCAGAUGAUGCAUUGUUUUCUACACUUGUGCAUUUCCACUGAGAACAACCUGAAACAAUCAAGAACACUGUGUGCAAUUGUUCAGAGGCGUUCAGAGGCUUGUGCUAUAAGGCUUAGCACGUACUGGUAGCACUGCUUCCUGGCUCCUAAAAAUAUACUAAAUUUGAAAGAAUGGUAAAAGAAGAAGAUGAUAUUUGCUGAAUAGUUUAGUACCUUGAAAUUCUUGAAAGAUGGUUACUGACACAAAACAAAGAGGCGAACUUCUAUAAUCAUAAGCAAAUAUCCUAAAAUUUGUUUUGGUGUGCAAAAGAGAAACAAAAACAAGUGCCAGAUUUAUUUUAUAUGGGUGGUGACCACUAAGAGAACAUUUUUAAUCAUAUUAUCUAACAUCUCCCUGUUUUUGUUUUGCCAGGCUUGGUGUGCACUGCAAACUAGCAAGAAUUUACUCAUAUUUUUAAAAUUAGUAAGAUAUAUCCUACCAAAACUUGGAACCUUCGCAAGGAAGUGACUUGUAUGGAAAAGAAGGAGAGAAAAAAUAAGAUUUAACUUCACCACAUAUAUUUUCACAAGUACCUUUUAAAAAAUGUCACCUAAUUUUAAAAAGGAGCUUUAGUUUCCAUUCCACAGCUUACUUAAACAGGAAUACUUGACGUCAGAAUGUCCUCUAUAUGCUAUUGCAUCUGCAUGCCGAAAAAUAAUAUAAAUGGUUAAUGAAUAUUGCACCAUAUCAGUUUCCUGUUCCAGUUGGCUGUCUUGUUAUGUUGGCAGUGAUUCAGGGGCCUGCAGAGCUGCAGGCAUAUGUCUCAUGUUAAAAAGUCUCAUGUUAUAAACACUUCAAUGAAAAUUACCAUCCAGUUUGGAGCCAACUUUGACCAGGUGCUGUAGAGAAAAUAAAUAGGUAACAUAUGAAAGCAGAAUGAAAGUUGGGCUUCUAUGGGGAUUAUGUUCUAUGCUACAUUUAAAACGUCAGUUUGAAAUCUGAACUAAAAUAUCCCCGCCCUGGACAAAGAAGUCUAAUUCUUUUACUGUUGAUACUGACCAGUUUUUCAGCUGAGUCUUUUGUUAUAAGACAUCCAACAAGAAGUUUGUAAACAAAUACUUUAUUAUUUCUCAACACUAAUUUUGAGUUAGGCUGAAUAAAAAUACAGAUAAAACUGUCUCCCUGGUGGUCCCCUACAAAAAUUCUCCAGGUAUCCUGAUUAGACAGAAGCAGAGGUUAAUCCUGAAUCUGCUGAGAAACUCUCCCAUUCUGAAGCCAGAGAAAUCUGAAUAGGACAUUCCACACCCUCUCAUUUUCAAGAGCAGAGUAUUAUUUCCUGAUUAUCAUGUAUAACUAGGUUCUAGGGAACAUAGUCUGGGUUCACUACUAAGAAUGCUCAGGGAAACCAACCAGAUAUCAUUAUGGGGUUGGAUUCUACCACAGCUGACACACGGUUUGAUCCUGCACCAUCUAAGUCAAAAGGAAUUUUUCCAACAAGCCCUUAAAAAGACCAUAGUGAAAGUUACUGGGAUCUUAGAAAUCUGCAUGUUCCUGCAGAAAAGGCAGGAGACUGGGCGUCAGGAGUCCUGCAUUUUGUUCCUGGCUCAGAUACUGACUGAAGUAAGUCACUUCACUGCCUCAGUUUCCCCAUCUGUAACAGUGGGUAUGAUAACACUUAGUUACAAUACAGUGUGAGGUGCAAAUUAAAACUUGUCAAGUAUUUUGAGAUACUUGGGGUAGUAUGAACUCCCAGUUGCUGCACAGCCAUGAGAAGAUGGACUGGAACACCCAGUCACUGAAAAUGGCAGGCAGCUAAUUUGGAUGAGCUCUUCACCUCUCAUGUAGCACCAUAACUUGGCCAUGAAGCAGCUUUGUUUUAUGUCAGAUUCACUAUCUUCUGGGGCUUCUUGAUCACAAAUAUUUUCAGCUGAAUUUUGUCCAAAAUGUGUCAGGUAAAUGCUUGAAAAGUAACAGAAGAUCAUUAUUUAUGCUUAGUUUUAUAUGCACACAUUGCAAGGCAGAGAAAGGAGCAUUUUAAGUUUUGCUAAUAUCAACUGGUGUUGCAGGAAAAAAACAGCAUCCUGAACUGGGGUCUUUGCACCUAAAAAGGAUUUCAAUGCAGCUUUGAACAAAGUUAUCUGGUUUUAUUUGGUCCUGCUGUAAUGAUUUCAGCACUGUGGCAGCACAACUAAUUAGCGAGAUCAGCGAAGGCUAUAUUUUGACAUUAACUAUAAAAAGAGAAAUCGUGCCAAUAAACUCUGUUAUCUCUAUAGGACAUAAGUAGGGUCUAUGCUGACCAUGAACCAAUCUCUUAGCUACUGAAAAAAAAUUGUUAUAAUCUAUGAAGGACUUCAGUUUAUAAUUUGAUUGUGGCCAGUCACUAACCAACAUUUUCUUCUAUUUUAAUAAAAGCAUUAUGACAUUCAGAGACAUCAUGGCUCCAUGACAAUGACAUCCUUCCAUUCAAAUCACAUCAGGGUGGUCUACACGAACCCUGCCCAAUGGAGUCUUCAGAGAUUAGCUAUCAUUACAGAGGAACAUUUAUAGCAAGAGGCUUGUGCAAUAGAGUAGAUUCCUGCAACAAUACCACCUGCAACUGAGCAUGUUUGGAGCAUAACCCAGUGGAACGAGAUCUUCUUAGCAAUAUAAAUUGAUGUGCCAUCGUCUUGCUUACAUCAGAGAGAAAAGUAAUCUUUUACUCUAAAAACAGGGAUUGGAGAAAGCUAAUCUGUAUUUGAGAGAGCAGUGCUCCUGGAAAUUCAAAAUGUUUUGCUGUUUGAUGCUUUGAGGCAUUAUCCCACCCCCCUGUAACCACACUAUGAACUUUUAAAAUAAACAGUUUAGUUUAUAAAUCUUAGCUCUGGCUUGAAUCAGAUCUGUAUCUAAUAACCCCAUCUAUAGGCAGUCCCCCACACAUGCCUGAAAUCAAGGAGCAACCCUCAAUACCAGGCCCUUGCAUCCUGGCCAUUCCAAAUUGCCCUGACAAUAGUCUAAUGAGUUAUUUUUAUAUUCACUUUUCCAAGCAGACAAUGUGAAUGGGGACAGCCAAGCCCCCAGGAGUAGACAGACAAAGUGGAAGCAUUUGGGGAGGGACUGGAGGGCAGAAGACCUAGUUAAGAUAUUCCAUGAGAUGCAAAUGCACAGUCUAAGGAUAACAACUUUACAUUUCCUGGUUUCUGUGUGUUUAUAAUCUUAAAUACUUAAUACUUCAACAGGCAUUUGUUCUAGUGUCCCAAAUUUCUUCCUGUGUAAUGUGAAAACUUAAAAAUAUACUUCACCUCUAACCAGAUUCAAUGUGUUGGGGACACUGGGGCAUGGCCAUUAGGUAACUCGAGGGGAUGGAAGACCACGAGUGUCGAUGAAGCCCCCUCGCACUAGGCCCAAGUGUCCUUGGCCCCCCCUCCUGCCUGGAGGCACACACAGCAGUUAUGCUGAGAAUCUGCAACAGUAUGUUGCAGAGUCAGACUGCCUGAAACUAAGCAAGGCCAAACAGGGGAGAUAUGAAAGAACAAUGCUGAAUAAAGCAGCUUUAUGUAUAGUUUAACAAAUGAUACAGAGAAUCAGGGAACUAGCUGGGAACUGGAUUGGCUGGCUAUAUGGAUACUUGGGGCAGCUUGCUAUUGGAUAAGUAUGCUGGGGAAAAGGAUGUAUAAAAGCCUGUGUAACUUCCUGCUCUGUUGUGCAGGAUUUGAGAUUUUAUUCUCCCUGUACCUUUUUGCAGCUGCAAAUAAACUUUUCUGCUUCUCCA